rnacentral:lncRNA from 1 species
GAAAUUUAGCUCUAUUACUAGACGUGGCCUCCCCUCGGACGCUAAUAACGGACCGUAAGUCUCGCCCGUUGGCUCUCGACGUCCUUUUGAACCUACCAAAGAGAGACCUGCACUUGAACUACUCUGCUUUAGCCAACAAGAGUUUGGACUCUGAGGGGGAGAGUUGGAACCACCGGGUAGUGACACGUGGCAAGGUGAAUUCGAAGGUGAACGCUGUAGAUUUCGACGCGGGUUCCAGCGAUGAAGAGAAUGGGAAUGGGAAUGGUGAAAAGGAGGAGUAUGAUUGGGAGAAAGAGAUGAGAAGGAGAGUGAAAGAGAUUGAAGAGAUGAGAGAGUUAGAGAAGAAAGCUGAGGAAUUGCAGAGUAAAGCGGAGGAGGAUGACAGUGAAAGUGAAGCUAAAGAAGAGACUGA